UACGUAGGUGGCAAGCGUUGUCCGGAAUUAUUGGGCGUAAAGCGCGCGCAGGCGGUUCCUUAAGUCUGAUGUGAAAGCCCACGGCUCAACCGUGGAGGGUCAUUGGAAACUGGGGAACUUGAAUACAGGAGAGGAAAGUGGAAUUCCCCGUGUAGCGGUGAAAUGCGUAGAGAUGUGGAGGAACACCAGUGGCGAAGGCGACUUUCUGGCCUGAUAUUGACGCUGAGGCGAGAAAGCGUGGGGAGCAAACAGG
rnacentral:rRNA from 1 species